AAACCCGUCAAUAUGGCGGCGAUCGGCCGCGGCCGCUCUCUGAAGAACCUCCGAGUACGAGAACCUUCUGAUAACUUAAGAGAGAUUCUCCAAAAUGUGGCCAGAUUGCAAGGAGUAUCAAAUAUGAGAAAGCUAGGCCAUCUGAAUAACUUUACUAAGCUUCUUUGUGAUAUUGGCCACAGUGAAGAAAAACUGGGCUUUAACUAUGAGGAUAUCAUAAUUUGUUUGCGGUUAGCUUUAUUAAACGAAGCAAAAGAAGUGCGAGCAGCAGGGCUACGAGCACUUCGAUAUCUCAUCCAAGACUCCAGUAUUCUCCAGAAGGUGCUAAAAUUGAAAGUGGACUAUUUAAUAGCUAGGUGCAUUGACAUACAACAGAGCAACGAGGUAGAGAGGACACAAGCACUUCGAUUAGUCAGAAAGAUGAUUACUGUGAAUGCUUCCUUGUUUCCUAGUUCUGUGACCAACUCAUUAAUUGCAGUUGGAAAUGAUGGACUUCAAGAAAGAGACAGAAUGGUCCGAGCAUGCAUUGCCAUUAUCUGUGAACUAGCACUUCAGAAUCCAGAGGUGGUGGCCCUUCGAGGUGGACUAAACACCAUCUUGAAAAAUGUGAUCGAUUGCCAAUUAAGUCGAAUAAAUGAGGCCCUAAUUACUACAAUUUUGCACCUUCUUAAUCAUCCAAAGACUCGACAGUAUGUGCGAGCCGAUGUAGAAUUAGAGAGAAUUUUAGCACCCUAUACUGAUUUUCACUACAGACAUAGUCCAGAUACAGCUGAAGGACAGCUCAAAGAAGACAGAGAAGCACGAUUUCUAGCCAGUAAAAUGGGAAUCAUAGCAACAUUCCGAUCAUGGGCAGGUAUUAUUAAUUUAUGUAAACCUGGAAAUUCUGGGAUCCAGUCUCUAAUAGGAGUACUUUGCAUACCAAAUAUGGAAAUAAGGGUAGGUAAAAGUUGUUAGGAUUGUUUCAUUCCUGGACCUUUAACGGUGGGAAUUAAUUAUUAAAAAAAAAUUAUUUCAGGUGAUGCUUUUUCCUCAUUAGUUGUUAAUUAGAUCAUAUUUUUAAAAUACACAAGUAAAUAUUUACUACUUAGUUAAACCCUAAAUAUAAUAGGAAUCAUUUAAAAUAUUGCUGUUGGCUGGGCGCGGUGGCUCAUGCCUGUAAUCCUAGCACUUUGGGAGGCCGAGGUGGGUGGAUCAUGAGGUCAGGAGUUCAAGACCAGCUUGACCAACAUGGUGAAACCACAUCUCUACUAAAAAAAAAAAAAUAUAUAUACAAAAAUUAGCUGGGCAUGGUGGCACAUGCCUGUAAUCCCAGCUACUCAGGAGGCUGAGGCAGGAGAAUCACUUGAACCCAGGAGGCGGAGGUUGCAGUGAGCUGAGAUAGCACCAUUGCACUCCAGCCUGGGUGACAGAGCGAGACUCCAUCUCAAAAAAAAAAAAAAAAAAAAAUUGCUGUUGUUAGGAAUAAUGACUGUAUUAAAAAUUGAGUUGAGGCCAGACAUGGUGGCUCACACCUGUAAUCCCAGCACUUUGGGAGGCCAAGGCAGGUGGAUCACCUGAGGUCAGGAGUUCGAGACCAGCCUCCUUAAUAUGGUGAAACCCCGUCUCUACUAAAAAUACAAAAAAUUAGCCAGGCACCUGUAAUCCCAGCUACUUAGGUGGUGGGCACCUGUAAUCCCAAGUACUCAGGAGGCUGAGGCAGGAGAAUCACUUAAACCUGGGAGGUGGAGGUUGCAAUGAGCCAAGAUCGCACCAUUGCACUCCAGCCUGGGCAACAAGAGCGAAACUCCAUCUCAAAAAAACAAAAAAAAGUUGAGUUGAAAAUAUGAACUUAAUUAUUCUUUAUUCAUUAAAACAAUAUAAACAACACACAAGGGCAUUCUCACUAUAAAAGGUUCAAGCACUACAGACUACAUUUAACAAAAGGUAAAUGUAUUUAUGCCUUCUAACUUAUGUUUUGUAAUAUGUGGUGAGAUUUUAUUUUAACGAUGGUGGUUUUGAUUAAAAUAGAAUUGUUAAUAUUUCUAUAUUUACUAGGUAUAUUUCUAAAUUAUUUGUAAGAAUUUGUAUUAUACAGUUAAAUUGAAUUUGAAGGAAAAGAGAAUUCUUAAAGUGAUUUUUUUCCUUUCUCCUUAAAUGUUUUUAUUUGUUUUAAUUUUGUUUCUUUCUUUUGCCCUUCCUUAUAUGAACCAAACCUGGAGCUGAAAAAUAUUAUUAGAAAAUAUUAGCCAGGUGUGCUUUGUUUAAAUGUGAAAUAAAAAGUAUUUAGAUAAUGGAAAUGGAAGGAUAUGAUUAUAAAUGGAAAGAUCUGUAAGCAGGUAACAAACUGUUGAGAUAAUUCACUUCUUACUCAAUAGGUGGAAAAAGAACAUGGUCUUUGGAGAGUCUGACCAACUGGAGUUUAACCUCUGGUUUUAUUUACUUUUUUGUUAGCUCCAUGACCUUGGGAAAAUUGCUUUUUUGCACAAUUAGGUUAAUGAAAAAUUUAAUGACUAGAUUAAGUGAUGUAUGUAGUAGUAAGCAUUUAGUUAUCCCUUCUCUAAUAUAGGCCUUAUACAGUUUCAAAAUAUGGUAUAAUCAUGCAUUGGUUAAUGAUAGGAAUGUGUUCUAAGAAACUCACUGUUAGAUGAUUUCAUCCUGUGAACAUCCUAGAGUACUUACACAGACCUAGAUGGUAUAGCCUACUACACACCUAGGUUAUGUGGUAUAGCUUAUUGCUUCUAAGCUACAAACCUGUAUAGCAUGUUACUGUACUGAGUACUGUAGGCAGUUGUAACACAAUGGAAUUCGUGUAUCUAAACAUCUAAACAUAGAAAAGGUACAAUAGAAAUACAGUAUAAAAAUUAAAAAUACUGGCCGGGCACGGUGGCUCACACCUGUAAUCCCAGCACUUUGGGAGGCCGAGGCGGGCGGAUCGUGAGAUCAGGAGAUUGAGACCAUCCUGGCUAACACGGUGAAACCUGUCCCUACUAAAAACAGAAAAAACUUAGCCAGUCGUGGUGGCAGGCACCUGUAGUCCCAGCUACUCGGGAAGCUGAGGCAGGAGAAUGGCGUGAACCCGGGAGGCGGAGCUUGCAGUGAGCCGAGAUUGCGCCACAGCACUUCAGCCUGAGCCACAGAGCAAGACUCCAUCUC
rnacentral:sRNA from 1 species